rnacentral:ncRNA from 1 species
CCAACCCUAUGCAAACUCCACCUGCUAUUGUGCCAGAGUGAUAGAAAGUAAAACGAGAUGUCACUUAAUCUCACUAUAAGCUGGAAACUCCUAUUGAUUACUAAUGUAUGGUAAGACUAUAUAUUAGUAAUGUAGGACAAUCAGCAGGAAACCUAAUGAUAUUUAUAUAUAUUAGUAGGAUAAUCCUCAGAGACUAUAUGUGAGACAAUUUAAAUUAUUUUAUCGUGAAGCGCUUGCUGGCUAGCUAGCUAGCAUAGAAGUAGCAGCAGCAGAAGCAAGCAUUACUUACGAGUACCCUCUCUCCACUCCUUGAGUCCUUUAGGACGUAAGUGGAGAGAGGUUCAAAAUAACUAUUUAGCAAUUUUAAUUGAAGAGAUAGUCCGACCAUAGUAUAAAUACUAUG